AGCAGAAGCUACACCCGGAUUCCUGCAGCUGAACGGAUGUAACCAGCAUUUGGGCUUUUCUAUUCAGUUACCUCCUUGUGGUCUGCAUGUAGGCUGUGAUUCUGCGGGGCUCUGCUGGAUCAGCUUGCUUGAUUCCAGGCCCAGGUCUGUUGUAUGUAUCUCCUCAUCCUGGGACCAUUGGCUACGCAAGGUUUGAUCUUCUCACGGUCGAUGGCAGAAGUUCAAGAGAUCAGGCAGAGUCACAGAGGCACAUUUAAAGCCUCUGCUUCUAUUGUAUCUACUCACACUACUGGCCACAGCAAGUCACAUGACCAAGACGGACAACCACGGGUCAGAAAGAACACUCUACCCACAGUGAGAAAAUGUCAAAGAUCUUCACCAGCUGGGUUCCGAUGCCUUUGUUCAAUAAAGGUAGAGAUAAUAACUGUCUCUAAAAAGAAAAUGUGCCGAGGUUCCCAGGAGAAGUGGUGGAAACAAAUCUUUUAUUAAAUCAUAUCAAAUUGUGUUUCUUGUUUACUUUUCUCAUUUUGUAAGUCACAGUCAUAUCUGCUAGUUUUGGUAAACCUUGCCUCACAGUCGUAAAAAAAAAAAAAAAAAACUAGCAAUUUGGAGGCUUGGUGUUCUUAAAGCUAAAUGCUGUGUGAUCAAUCGGGGUGAUAAAUUUCACACAAUUAACUGCCGUGAUGACAUUUCUGAGUCUGUUCGUCUAUUUUCCCCUGCUGACAUCUUAGGAGAUUGGUUAACUUCUGCCUAUAUUUGCAGAUGUUCUAUGGAUGCCUAGAAAAAGAACAGCAGGAAAAUGUAGUCAAUAUCUGGAGUUUUUACCUGUUCACAAAUUUGUGACCCUUAGAGUAAUAACAUCUCUAUUUUCCUUUGAGGGCAGGUGGCUCACAUAGGCUAGUUCUAUUCCUACUGCGAGGAGAGGCGUAUGACCCAGACCUGGCCAAUCAAAACAUCCUUGCUCAAGUUGGACCAAUCAGAGCCAGUGAGAAUCCUGGGACUUGUACUACGACUACUGGAAAUGAGAACUUUCUUGAUUGGAAUUCGUUAAAGAAUGAGAUAUAAAGCUGCUUAUGGUUAUCUUCCCUCUCCAUGGGAAGAGUACUCUUGAAGGAAGACAGGACAGAGAAAGACAGCCAAGAAGUGGAGGAAGACAGAUUCCUGAUGAGAUCACUUGAAUUCUUGAGUUUAAUUAUGCCUGAAGUUUUACUCAUCAAUUAGGCAAGCUAAUCAAUUUUAAUUUUUUGCUUAAGUCCGUUUUGUUGGCUACCUGCCUCCAAAAGAGUCUUAAACACUUGUGUUUUAUAACUUUCAGUAAAGUCUCAUAUGUAGGAGAGCAUGUGCAACAGCAGCAUUACCCAUGCUGAUCAAAAUAGAUCAGCCCUAUUUUCUCUCGUGUUCUCAGUGGUCACCAUUGUAUAAUGGACUGUCUUCAGGUAGGUGCACCUGCUCCAGGCCACAGCUCAUCAGAGGGCCUUGGCCAGCAUAUCUCUUGUGUUUCCAAGAAUUGUCAUUGCUAGAAUUACUCAUGGUUGUCCCAUAUUCAUACUCUGUGGAUAUGGGGUUUGUGCUAUGCCCUGUCCUCCCCCUGCUCUACCCCAGGGGCUCAGUAGUUCCUUGUGAAUGCAGUUGUGCUUAUCUGUGCCCUAGAGAAUUCAGAAUGAGAUUUCCUGGCAGCUGGCCACUGGUAUCUUCUCCGAGCCUUGCAUCUCUAAGAUCUUGGGUCCAUUUCUAGUUCUUUCUUUGUCUUGCUCAAAUUAAGCAAUCA